GGCCUAACACAUGCAAGUCGAACGGUAACAGGAAGCAGCUUGCUGCUUUGCUGACGAGUGGCGGACGGGUGAGUAAUGUCUGGGAAACUGCCUGAUGGAGGGGGAUAACUACUGGAAACGGUGGCUAAUACCGCAUAACGUCGCAAGACCAAAGAGGGGGACCUUCGGGCCUCUUGCCAUCAGAUGUGCCCAGAUGGGAUUAGCUUGUUGGUGAGGUAACGGCUCACCAAGGCGACGAUCCCUAGCUGGUCUGAGAGGAUGACCAGCCACACUGGAACUGAGACACGGUCCAGACUCCUACGGGAGGCAGCAGUGGGGAAUAUUGCACAAUGGGCGCAAGCCUGAUGCAGCCAUGCCGCGUGUAUGAAGAAGGCCUUCGGGUUGUAAAGUACUUUCAGCGGGGAGGAAGGUGUUGUGGUUAAUAACCGCAGCAAUUGACGUUACCCGCAGAAGAAGCACCGGCUAACUCCGUGCCAGCAGCCGCGGUAAUACGGAGGGUGCAAGCGUUAAUCGGAAUUACUGGGCGUAAAGCGCACGCAGGCGGUCUGUCAAGUCGGAUGUGAAAUCCCCGGGCUCAACCUGGGAACUGCAUUCGAAACUGGCAGGCUUGAGUCUUGUAGAGGGGGGUAGAAUUCCAGGUGUAGCGGUGAAAUGCGUAGAGAUCUGGAGGAAUACCGGUGGCGAAGGCGGCCCCCUGGACAAAGACUGACGCUCAGGUGCGAAAGCGUGGGGAGCAAACAGGAUUAGAUACCCUGGUAGUCCACGCCGUAAACGAUGUCUACUUGGAGGUUGUGCCCUUGAGGCGUGGCUUCCGGAGCUAACGCGUUAAGUAGACCGCCUGGGGAGUACGGCCGCAAGGUUAAAACUCAAAUGAAUUGACGGGGGCCCGCACAAGCGGUGGAGCAUGUGGUUUAAUUCGAUGCAACGCGAAGAACCUUACCUGGUCUUGACAUCCACAGAAGAAUCCAGAGAUGGAUUUGUGCCUUCGGGAACUGUGAGACAGGUGCUGCAUGGCUGUCGUCAGCUCGUGUUGUGAAAUGUUGGGUUAAGUCCCGCAACGAGCGCAACCCUUAUCCUUUGUUGCCAGCGGUCCGGCCGGGAACUCAAAGGAGACUGCCAGUGAUAAACUGGAGGAAGGUGGGGAUGACGUCAAGUCAUCAUGGCCCUUACGACCAGGGCUACACACGUGCUACAAUGGCGCAUACAAAGAGAAGCGACCUCGCGAGAGCAAGCGGACCUCAUAAAGUGCGUCGUAGUCCGGAUUGGAGUCUGCAACUCGACUCCAUGAAGUCGGAAUCGCUAGUAAUCGUGGAUCAGAAUGCCACGGUGAAUACGUUCCCGGGCCUUGUACACACCGCCCGUCACACCAUGGGAGUGGGUUGCAAAAGAAGUAGGUAGCUUAACCUUCGGGAGGGCGCUUACCACUUUGUGAUUCAUGACUGGGGUGAAGUCGUAACAAGGUAACCGUAGGGGAACCUGCGGUUG
rnacentral:rRNA from 1 species